AAAAGACAUUUGGCAACCCGAACUUCAGUGAGAAAAAAAGCAUCAUCUACCAAAAGAGUUCAAUAUGAGACAUUAGAUUCAGACGCCCAGACUCACAGGAACUACAAGAACUUCAAAGACACUCUCCUGCAGAUCUUCCAGGAUCUUGAAAGCAAAAUUAUCAAAUUUCUGAAGAA